CAGUUAUGGAUAGAAGAGGGAGUGCCUUUCAACAACCCCUUCUUGCCGAACUGGGGGAAGAAGUACCAUCAGUCUUUUGUCGAGGGGUGGCGCUUGAAGGUGUAAAAAUACCUAAACAAAGAGAGGGAUGGCUGAACUUCGACUACGUGGCAAAGGGAGAGGAACUCUAUCAAAAACCUAAAAGAAUUUGGCACGACUGAAGCUAAAGAAAUGUCCAGAAAAUGAAAAAGAGCAACGACGAAGGGCAGAAGCGGGAGACGGAGCCUAGCACGGAAGGCCUCCUGAUACAGGCAGAAGCGGCC
rnacentral:lncRNA from 1 species